rnacentral:rRNA from 1 species
GAUGAACGCUGGCGGCGUGCCUAAUACAUGCAAGUCGAGCGAACAGAUAAGGAGCUUGCUCCUUCGACGUUAGCGGCGGACGGGUGAGUAACACGUGGGUAACCUACCUAUAAGACUGGGAGAAUUUCGGGAAACCGGAGCUAAUACCGGAUAAUAUUUCGAACCGCAGGGUUCGAUAGUGAAAGAUGGUUUUGCUAUCACUUAUAGAUGGACCCGCGCCGAAUUAGCUAGUUGGUAAGGUAACGGCUUCCCAAGGCGACGAUACGUAGCCGACCGGAGAGGGGAAUCGGCCCCCCUGAAACUAGACAACGGCCCGACCCCUUACGGAAGCCGGCGGUGGGAAUUGUGCCGAAAGGGGGGAAGGCUUAACGAAGCAACGCGGCGGGGGUGAGGAAGGUUUUCGGUUCGUAAACCUCUGUUAUUGGGGAAAAACAUACCUGUAAGUAACCGUGCACGUCUGAAGGGAACCUAAUAAGAAGGCCACGGCUAACUAGGU